rnacentral:rRNA from 1 species
GACGUAGGGCGCGAGCGUUGUCCGGAUUUAUUGGGCGUAAAGAGCUCGUAGGCGGCUUGUCGCGUCGAAUGUGAAAUCUCAGGGCUCAACUCUGACAUUGCAUUCGAUACGGGCAGGCUAGAGUUCGGUAGGGGAGACUGGAAUUCCUGGUGUAGCGGUGAAAUGCGCAGAUAUCAAGUGGAACACCAGUGGCGAAGGCGAGUCUCUGGACAUUUCCUGACGCUGAGGCACGAAAGCCAGGGGAGCAAACGGG